rnacentral:rRNA from 1 species
GACGAACGCUGGCGGCGUGCUUAACACAUGCAAGUCGAACGGAAAGGCCCUGCUUGCAGGGUACUCGAGUGGCGAACGGGUGAGUAACACGUGGGUGAUCUGCCCUGCACUUCGGGAUAAGCUUGGGAAACUGGGUCUAAUACCGGAUAGGAACCAUCUUUAGUGUGGUGGUUGGAAAGUUUUUUCGGUGUAGGAUGAGCUCGCGGCCUAUCAGCUUGUUUGUGGGGUAAUGGCCUACCAAGGCGGCGACGGGUAGCCGGCCUGAGAGGGUGUACGGCCACAUUGGGACUGAGAUACGGCCCAGACUCCUACGGGAGGCAGCAGUGGGGAAUAUUGCACAAUGGGCGCAAGCCUGAUGCAGCGACGCCGCGUGGGGGAUGAAGGCCUUCGGGUUGUAAACUCCUUUCGCUAGGGACGAAGCUUUGUUGUGACGGUACCUAGAUAAGAAGCACCGGCUAACUACGUG